rnacentral:misc_RNA from 1 species
AUUAAACUUCUCUCUUGCUUUGAUUGGUCCGUCAAUGCACGCUCGAGAGUGUGGGAGUGGUUAGAUCUGAUAAAAUCUUACAAAAAUGGUGUUGUCUGAUUCAUCGAACUCAAGCACUCUUUUUGGUUUACAAGACAUGGAUUCUCUCUCUCACGCGUCACUUCCCUUUCUCUCUCUCUGACUCUCGACUUUCAGACUAUUCCCCACCUUCUUCCCUCUUUUAGACUUGCCUGGCUUCUUCACUCGACAGAUAGAAAGAGGGUGGUGUAGUCUUGUAGAGAGAGAGUCUGUGUUUUUACUUAUUUUGGAGAGAGAGAGAGAGAG